GACGAGUCUUUCUUCCAGCUCUACCCUGAAAGUCCUCCAGGCACCGGUCUUUUUUUUCUGCCUUUUGUUUCCCUCCCGGCGAGUCGGCGCGACAGUGAAUUUCCGUUUCCCGCGGUGUCCAAGCGGACCUGAGGAGUUGCAGCUGUGAGCAGGUUAGAGUUACUUGUUAUUGGUAAAUAGCCACUAUGGAGACUAAGGACCAGAAGAAACAAAGAAAGAAAAACAGUGGACCCAAAGAUGAAAAGAAAAAGAAGCGGCAUCUGCAGGAUCUCCAGCUAGGAGACGAAGAAGAUGCCCAGAAGAGAAAUCCCAAAGCUUUUGCAGUUCAGUCUGCUGUGUGGAUGGCUCGAUCCUUUCACAGGACUCAGGAUUUGAAGACAAAAAAGCAUCGUAUUCCAGUGGUUGAUCGAACUCCACUAGAGCCCCCACCAAUAGUGGUAGUGGUGACGGGGCCUCCAAAGUUGGAAAGAGCACUUUGAUAUAAUGCCUCAUUCAGAACUUCAUUGGCAGAAGUUGACUGAGAUCAGAGGCCCUGUGAUGAUCGUGUCAGGUCAAGGGCUCAGAGGUUUGCAGGGCCCUCCUGGGAAGAUGGGGCCCCCAGGAAACACAGGGACUUCUGGAAUUCCAGGACCUAGGGGCCAAAAAGGAGAUCGUGGGGACAAUUCAGUUGCUGAGGCUAAGCUGGCCAACUUAGAGAGAAAGCUAUAGAGCCUGAGAUCAGAACUGGACCACACGAAGAAGCAGACAGGAUCUCCGUAUGUUGUCCAGGCUGGUCUUUAACUCCUGACCUCAAGUGAUCCUCCCCAAUCAGCCUCCCA